AACGUAGGAGCCAAGCGUUAUCCGAAUUCACUGGGCGUAAAGCGCGUGCAGGCGGCUGGGUAAGUUGGAUGUGAAAUCUCCUGGCUCAACUGGGAGAGGCCGUUCAAUACUACCUGGCUUGAGGGCGACAGAGGGAGGUGGAAUUCCGGGUGUAGUGGUGGAAUGCGUAGAGAUCCGGAAGAACACCGGUGGCGAAGGCGGUUAGCUGGGCAGUUGCUGACACUGAGGCGCGACAGCGUGGGGAGCAAACGGG
rnacentral:rRNA from 1 species